rnacentral:rRNA from 1 species
AUGAACGCUGGCGGCGCAUUUAAGACAUGCAAGUCGAACGAAAACGAACAAAUUAAGAAGAGUGGAAGAUUUAUCUGAAAUGAUUUUUAGACCGUGAGUUUUAGUGGCGGACGGGUGAGUAAUACAUAGAUAAUCUACCUUUUAGAGGGAAAUAACUAGGAGAAAUCCAAGCUAAUGUCCCAUAAGACCACAUUACCGCAUGAUAAAGAGGUCAAAGGAGAAAUCCGCUAGAAGAUGAGUCUAUGGCUGAUUAGUUAGUUGGUGGGGUAAGAGCUUACCAAGACAAUGAUCAGUAGCCGAGCUGAGAGGCUGGCCGGCCACAUUGGGACUGAGACACGGCCCAGACUCCUACGGGAGGCAGCAGUUGGGAAUAUUGGACAAUGGAGGGAACUCUGAUCCAGUGACGCCGCGUGAAGGAAGAAGGUCUUCGGAUUGUAAACUUAUUUUAUCAGGGAAGAAAUAAAUGACAGUACCUGAAGAAGAAGGACCGGCUAACUACGUGCCAGCAGCCGCGGUAAUACGUAGGGUCCGAGCGUUAUCCGGAUUUACUGGGUGUAAAGGGCGAGUAGACGGAACUGCAAGUCAGAUGUGAAAUGCUAGAGCUCAACUUUAGAACUGCAUCUGAAACUGUGGAACUAGAGUGCAGGAGAGGUAAGCGGAAUUCCUAGUGUAGCGGUGAAAUGCGUAGAUAUUAGGAGGAACACCAGUGGCGAAGGCGGCUUACUGGACUGUAACUGACGUUGAGGCGCGAAAGUGUGGGGAGCAAACAGGAUUAGAUACCCUGGUAGUCCACACUGUAAACGAUGGAUACUAGGUGUAGGGUGUGAUAAACGCUCUGUGCCGUCGCAAACGCAGUAAGUAUCCCACCUGGGGAGUACGGCCGCAAGGUUGAAACUCAAAGGAAUUGACGGGGGCCCGCACAAGCAGUGGAGUAUGUGGUUUAAUUCGACGCAACGCGAAGAACCUUACCAAGACUUGACAUAUACGGGAAUACUUAAGAAAUUAAGUAGUCUUUCGGGACUCGUAUACAGGUGAUGCAUGGUUGUCGUCAGCUCGUGUCGUGAGAUGUUGGGUUAAGUCCCGCAACGAGCGCAACCCUCGUGAUUAGUUGCCUUGAAGAAAGGAACUCUAAUCAGACUGCCGUAGUUAAUACGGAGGAAGGUGAGGAUGAUGUCAAAUCAUCACGUCCCUUAUGUCUUGGGCUACACACGUACUACAAUGGGUGUUACAAAGAGAAGCGAAACCGUAAGGUGGAGCAAAACUGAAAAAAGCAUCCCUAGUUCGGAUUGUAGGCUGCAACCCGCCUACAUGAAGCUGGAAUUGCUAGUAAUCAUAGGUCAGCAUACUAUGGUGAAUACGUUCCCGGGCCUUGUACACACCGCCCGUCACACCAUGGGAGUUGGGAAUGCCCGAAGCCAGUGACCUAACCGUAAGGAAGGAGCUGUCGAAGGCAGGCUCGAUAACUGGGGUG